AGGAUUUUUGUUGAACUUUCAACUGUUGGUUGAAAUGGUUGCCGUGGAGAUGGUCUCAGCCUAGAGCGGCUGCUGUUCAGCUUUGGCCCCUCAAGGGAGAACACAUCUGAGAAUGAAGAAUGGUUGAGGCAUUUGUUCCUCUGGUUUUCUCUCUGCUCCAGUGCAGUAGGUUGGCCUCGCCCUUCUUCUGAAGCCCCCGUUUCCAUCGGGUGGCUGGUUUCAUGCCGCUGUGGCUCCUCACAGAUUCCCUCUCUCAGUUGCCAUAACUGCCACCCUCCUUGCUCCUAAAGGCACUGGGGCAGAAGUGGUUCCUCCGCUAUUACCAGCCCGGGGUUCUUUCAACCUGCCUACAUCUGGAAAAUACCUCCUUAUCAAACUCUUCAUCACCAGUGUCAGUUCAUGGUCAGUUUCUUUCCUGAGCCCUGACCCACACCCAGGGAAAGGCCAACCUUCUGUGGCCAAGAUGAAGCCUCUUCCACCGUCAGCUGGGCACUUCUAGGGGCUGUGAGCCCUGAAGAAUGGAGAGAUUCAGGCCAUGUGUGUGGCUCUACCUCCUGAGAAACAGGAGUUAUCAGGCCUGGGCUUCGCUCACAGCACCUGCCGGCUCCUGGGAAGAAGCCACAUCUGCCUCGAGCUGCCCCGACUGCCUUUGCUAUGAUACCUAUCCGUGGCUUGCUUGUGCCAACUCUGAAAACACAGGGCUGCCUGGGGGAGCUCUCGUGUGAGCAAGCAGCAGCUCGUGGGUAAGGAAAGCCCCUUCAUUUAUUAACAUUAAAGUGAUUGCAAACUCGUAGGUGAGAUACUUAUGCAUUGGGCUCUGUCUGGAUAAUUCACCUGUAUUAACUCAGCCGAUCCUCUUAACUCCAUAAGGAAGGAAUCCUUAUUGUCCCCAUCUUAAAGACCUCCGAAACGAAACCAGAGAUACUGAAUGAUUUGCCUGGGAUGACUCCGCUACCACUUGGCACAGCCACGGUGCAAACCCAGUUGGGCUGGCACUGAACACCCAGACUGUAGAUCCCUCCUGCCUGACUCAAGAACCUCUGUCUAUAUGGAAGCAAUCAACUUAAGGUCACAAGAGGCCCAUUUCAGAAUGGGUUCUGUCCCACACUCUGGAGGAAGGAACGCUGUACGAGGAGGCCAAGAAGAAUCUGAACAGACAGGCUUUACUGGAGUUCCCCUCUCGGCCCGUUAGUAUUAGACCAGAUCCUUUUGUCCAGUCACAUUUCUACGUGCUUGCCUAUCAAAGAAGUCUCUAUAAAAAGUCCAAGAGAACAGGGUUUGGGGAGCUUCCAGGAGGUAGGAAAGUGAACAAGAAUUCAUCCACAUGCCAGACAGCUGGUGCAUCCCAAAUCCAUGGAGACAGAAGCUCCUGCACUCAGACCCUUCCAGACCUCACCCUACGUGUUUCUUCAUCUGGCUGUUUAUUUGUAUCCUUUGAAAUAUCCUUUGUAAUAAACUGUUGAACAUAA